rnacentral:lncRNA from 1 species
UUCGGUAUUUAUUAAUGCUUUUGGUAGUUCAGGGCAUAAUUGUUCAGUAGUUAUUAUUUCAUCUUCUGUUACUAAUUCUCUUGUAAUAUAGUUUUCUUCUUGUCCUGUAUUUAUUAAUAUUAAAUAUUUUCGUUGUUCCAUUAUUCCCGUUAUGUAGUAAUGAUAUGGUUUUAUUUCUUCUUCUAUUGAUUUUUGUGGACUUUUAUCUAUUCUUCUUGAGG